rnacentral:rRNA from 16 species
GGAAGGUGGGGACGACGUCAAGCCAUCAUGGCCCUUACGUGUAGGGCUACACACGUGCUACAAUGGCAGUGACAAUGGGUUAAUCCCCAAAAACUGUCUCAGUUCGGAUUGUCGUCUGCAACUCGACGGCAUGAAGGUGGAAUCGCUAGUAAUCGUGGAUCAGCAUGCCACGGUGAAUACGUUCCCGGGCCUUGUACACACCGCCCGUCACACCAUGGGAGUGGAUUGCACCAGAAGUGGUUAGUCUAACCUUCGGGAGGACGAUUACCACUUUGUGUUUCAUGACUGGGGUGAAGUCGUAACAAGGUAGCCGUAGGGGAUCCUGCGGCUGGAUCACCUCCUU